UACGAAUCGUCCAAACGUUGUUCGGAUUUACUGGGUUUAAAGGGCGCGUAGGCGGUGCGUUAAGUCGGCGGUGAAAUACUUCGGCUCAACCGGAGAAUUGCCGCUGAAACUGGCGUGCUCGAGGGAGGUAGAGGUGCGUGGAACUUCCGGUGGAGCGGUGAAAUGCGUUGAUAUCGGAAGGAACACCUGUGGCGAAAGCGAUGCACUGGACCUUUUCUGACGCUGAGUGCGCGAAAGCCAGGGGAGCGAACGGG
rnacentral:rRNA from 1 species